rnacentral:lncRNA from 1 species
GUGCUGCUUUGUAUUGUCUCUGCCUCAACUACAGCAGUGGCCAGGAGUGGUGCUGGCAGAGCUGCCUGCCAAAUCUGCCAGUUUUAGGGGCAAGAGCAGCUCCCCAUGCAGGUGUGCUUCUGUCUGCACAGAGGAUAAAGGGAACAGCUUCGGGAGAAUUAGAAACAGGCAGCAGAGGAGGAGAACACAGAAUAACAGGACAAGAAAGCCUCCCCUUCUGUUCUGCCAUCCCAGGUUCCCUUGAAGAGAAGGCAAAAGCAUUUCUGUGGAGGCACCGUUGUUUCUGCUCACUGGGUGGUCACAGCAGCUCCUUGCACCCUGGACAGGAACCUACUGCAAUACUUGCAUGUCACUGCAGGAGAACAUGGCUUGGGAAUCAGGGGGAGCAGUGA